rnacentral:rRNA from 1 species
CGGCGUGCCUAAUACAUGCAAGUAGAACGCUGAAGAGAGGAGCUUGCUCUUCUUGGAUGAGUUGCGAACGGGUGAGUAACGCGUAGGUAACCUGCCUUGUAGCGGGGGAUAACUAUUGGAAACGAUAGCUAAUACCGCAUAACAAUGGAUGACACAUGUCAUUUAUUUGAAAGGGGCAAUUGCUCCACUACAAGAUGGACCUGCGUUGUAUUAGCUAGUAGGUGAGGUAACGGCUCACCUAGGCGACGAUACAUAGCCGACCUGAGAGGGUGAUCGGCCACACUGGGACUGAGACACGGCCCAGACUCCUACGGGAGGCAGCAGUAGGGAAUCUUCGGCAAUGGGGGCAACCCUGACCGAGCAACGCCGCGUGAGUGAAGAAGGUUUUCGGAUCGUAAAGCUCUGUUGUAAGUCAAGAACGAGUGUGAGAGUGGAAAGUUCACACUGUGACGGUAGCUUACCAGAAAGGGACGGCUAACUACGUGCCAGCAGCCGCGGUAAUACGUAGGUCCCGAGCGUUGUCCGGAUUUAUUGGGCGUAAAGCGAGCGCAGGCGGUUUGAUAAGUCUGAAGUUAAAGGCUGUGGCUCAACCAUAGUUCGCUUUGGAAACUGUCAAACUUGAGUGCAGAAGGGGAGAGUGGAAUUCCAUGUGUAGCGGUGAAAUGCGUAGAUAUAUGGAGGAACACCGGUGGCGAAAGCGGCUCUCUGGUCUGUAACUGACGCUGAGGCUCGAAAGCGUGGGGAGCGAACAGGAUUAGAUACCCUGGUAGUCCACGCCGUAAACGAUGAGUGCUAGGUGUUGGAUCCUUUCCGGGAUUCAGUGCCGCAGCUAACGCAUUAAGCACUCCGCCUGGGGAGUACGACCGCAAGGUUGAAACUCAAAGGAAUUGACGGGGGCCCGCACAAGCGGUGGAGCAUGUGGUUUAAUUCGAAGCAACGCGAAGAACCUUACCAGGUCUUGACAUCCCGAUGCUAUUUCUAGAGAUAGAAAGUUACUUCGGUACAUCGGUGACAGGUGGUGCAUGGUUGUCGUCAGCUCGUGUCGUGAGAUGUUGGGUUAAGUCCCGCAACGAGCGCAACCCCUAUUGUUAGUUGCCAUCAUUCAGUUGGGCACUCUAGCGAGACUGCCGGUAAUAAACCGGAGGAAGGUGGGGAUGACGUCAAAUCAUCAUGCCCCUUAUGACCUGGGCUACACACGUGCUACAAUGGUUGGUACAACGAGUUGCGAGUCGGUGACGGCAAGCUAAUCUCUUAAAGCCAAUCUCAGUUCGGAUUGUAGGCUGCAACUCGCCUACAUGAAGUCGGAAUCGCUAGUAAUCGCGGAUCAGCACGCCGCGGUGAAUACGUUCCCGGGCCUUGUACACACCGCCCGUCACACCACGAGAGUUUGUAACACCCGAAGUCGGUGAGGUAACCUUUUGGAGCCAGCCGCCUAAGGUGGGAUAGAUGAUUGGGGUG